UACGUAGGGGGCAAGCGUUGUCCGGAAUCAUUGGGCGUAAAGCGCGUGUAGGCGGCCCGAUAAGUCCGCUGUGAAAGUCCAGGGCUCAACCCUGGGAUGCCGGUGGAUACUGUCGGGCUCGAGUCCGGAAGAGGCGAGUGGAACUGCGAGUGUAGAGGUGAAAUUCGUAGAUAUUCGCAAGAACACCAGUGGCGAAGGCGGCUCACUGGUCCGGUUCUGACGCUGAGGCGCGAAAGCGUGGGGAGCAAACAGG
rnacentral:rRNA from 1 species